rnacentral:rRNA from 1 species
CCUACGGGAGGCAGCAGUCGAGAAUCAUUCACAAUGGGGGAAACCCCGAUGGUGCGACGCCGCGUGGGGGAAUGAAGGUCUUCGGAUUGUAAACCCCUGUCAUGUGGGAGCAAAUUAAAAAGAUAGUACCACAAGAGGAAGAGACGGCUAACUCUGUGCCAGCAGCCGCGGUAAUACGGAGGUCUCAAGCGUGGUUCGGAAUCACUGGGCGUAAAGGGUGCGUAGGCGGUUUGGUAAGGCGUGUGUGAAAGGCCCGGGCUCAACCCGCGGACUGCACAUGAUAAUGGGAGACUAGAGUAAUGGAGGGGGAAGCGGAAUUCUCGGUGUAGCAGUGAAAUGCGUAGAUAUCGAGAGGAACACUCGUGGCGAAGGCGGGUUCCUGGACAUUAACUGACGCUGAGGCACGAAGGCCAGGGGAGCGAAAGGGAUUAGAUACCCGUGUAGUC